AACAACCAAGCAGGAAAUGACGGACGUGGGAAAACGGAAAGAUAUACUGCUUAUUUCAUAUUGGGUCGUGCGCCACAUGGCAACCCUAACUCGGCAGCGUCCUGAUUUACAGCCCAAUCCAUUACUCAAGAGUAAAUUAAACAAGGUUUACAGGUAAGCGUGCAGAACACCGCCUGCAGCCGAUCUUUUAGGCUGCAAGGUUUCAAGCGGCCGUAAAGAAUAAGCGGCCCCAAUCCCGGCGCCCCCAAGAGGCAGAAACAAAACGCUUUGCGCAUUAGCGAUGUACUUUCACCUCGCCACAUCCUCCGCAUCCCACGCGGCUUCUGACGGAAAGGGGCGGGUCUUGACGCGUCACAAUGGGCAUAAAUAGAGCUGGAGAAAGCGGCUCCGGCCUUUUCGCUGCAAGGACGGGGAGAUGGGGAAGGUGAGUGCCGCGUAUCCUUAUUUUGAGAAGGGAUUUACCUGGGGAGGGGAAAGAAACGGGAACCCUGCGUGGUUGGAGGAAGCAAAGACCGGUCUCGGGAAGCCGUCCUGUGCAGGCGAGGACAAAUUCAGGACAUUUCCUCUGGGCCGGUUGCUGCCCUAUGGAGAUCCGCGGGGCUUUACUCCCCGGUAAAAUUGAAAUAAAAAAUUUGCAGCAUCAGCACCACGCGUCACCCGCAGGACCAGGAAAGCAGAACGGAAUAAUGUCCGGCUAAUGUCUUCCUUUUCCUCAUGGAAAGAAAACUACAUGAAGGAGCCGUUGCUCUUCGACUAAAGCUGCUGUGGGGAUGCACUAUUUUAAAAUAAAAUAAUAAAAUAAAAAACUAUUGUGUGGCUCUUUUCUCUGUUGUCUUUGAAGCACUGCCUUUGAACUGGUGCAUGGCCCAUACCAUGGCCUCACUGGCUACGCUACAGUGCAAAAGUAAAGGACUUGCUUAUAACUGGUGCUGCUCAGCUGAAAUCUGAGUGAUUCUUUUAAGGGCAAGUUACAUUUCA